GGGGGAGCUCCCGGAAAAACGCUCGGGAAAUCGGGAAAAGUUCGAAUUAAUUAUGAAAAACGUGCGAAAAGUGUUCUCUAAAGCGCCCGCUUCAUUUUGAUGUAAUUUUCGAGGGUGCGCACCUGUUUUUUCUAUGGAAAAACAGUGAGAUAUAACCACAAAUUUCAUCGGCGUCAACCCUCUUGCAGUUAUCACGUGUCCAGAAGAAAAUGUAAGGAAAUGCCUCUCCCUCGAGGUUAGUGAAAUAACUUCAAAAGGCAUGGCAACUAUGGUGUAAAAGUCCCUCUGGGAGUCAUCGAGGGUCCAGAGGAGAACACAAGACAGAAAAAGACGAGAAGAUGAUUGGAACAACUGCUCCGGAGGAUCCUCAGGGUUUCGUUGUAAGAAUCAACAUCAUCAGGGACACUCCUCGAAGGAACAAAGGGGGCAGAGGGGCUUUUAGCAGCUGCAGAUCAUCAUUAGGAAGAUUAUGUUCUAUUUUUAUUAUUAUGUGAUUAUAUUAUGUUGUAUUUGUUUAUAUGGGCGUUAUAAUAAAUUAUGUUUUAAAUCUGAUUGACUUGUGUUUGAUUUCCCUAAUCGUAUUGUUGGGUUAGGGCACAAUAAAGUUUGUUGUUUUUGUGUUUUAUUUUUACCCUCUUCAAGAUUUAUUGCUCUGUAAAGGAGCGUCAAGGUUUGUACAUUUAUUUAUUUAUUGUUUUUAAUGUAUGUAUUUUGUUGUGUUGUUAUUGUUGGAGGGGGAACACAUUUUCCAAUUUUUCCCUUUAUCAUGGAAAUCCAUCCAUUAGAACCUUUUUUAUCCAGGUUUUUGUAAAUCAUGUCCAAGGGAAAAGACAGUCUGAGGUAACUUGGGUCAUAACUCCACUCCUAGUGGUCAGAUCGGAUUGAUUUUUGUUUUAAAAGAUUCUUUGAAGUCUUCUUCAGCUUUCACUAAAACAAUCAUGGAAAUCCAUCCAUUAGAACCUUUUUUAUCCAGGUUUUUGUAAAUCAUGUCCAAGAAAAAAGACAGUCUGAGGUAACUUGGGUCAUAACUCCACUUCUGGUGGUCAGAUCGGGUUGAUUUUUGUUUUAAAAGAUUCUUUGAACUGUUCUUCAGCUUUCACUAAAACAAUCAUGGAAAUCCAUCCAUUAGAACCUUUUUUAUCCAGGUUUUUGUAAAUCAUGUCCAAGAAAAAAGACAGUCUGAGGUAACUUGGGUCAUAACUCCACUUCUGGUGGUCAGAUCGGGUUGAUUUUGGUUUUAAAAGAUUCUUUGAAGUCUUCUUCAGCUUUCAAAACUAAAAUCAAGGAAAUCUGAUGAAUAGAACAGAAGUUAUUCCACUUUGUACCCAGAGAGCAUUUUCUCAGUGGACUUUCAACAAAUUUGUACAUAAAAACAAUUCUACUAAACCAAUUUCAAUGAUUUAUGUCUCUAAAGCUGCAGAACGUUCUUCUAAAGGUAUCAACAUCAAAAUCAAGCAAAUCUGAUGAAAAGAACAAAAGUUAUGCCACUUUGUAUCAAAACUGGUCUCGACUAACAGACUUUCAUUCAAGUGUCCACAUAAAGUCAGUUCUCCUCAAUCAAUUUCAAUUAUUGAUGUCUUCAAAGCUUCAGAAUGUUCUUCCAAAUCUGUCAGUACCAAAAUCAUGGAAAUUGAACGAUCAGAAGUCCAAAUAUUCCAUUUUUGGUGUUGGGUAUGGUGGUCUCGGAAAGUUGGACCUGUCAGUUGUACUUUCAAUUAUUUGGCUAUUUCUUGCACGAAACCCUAAAGUGCCAUACAUAUUCUUAAAAGGGAUGAAACCAGCUUUAAUUUCAUGUAUCCAACUUUGGUUUUAUGCAAAAUUCUUGAGUUUGUUUGCUAUAUUUGUUUUUAUGGUAAUGUAAAUAUGAACAUAACCAAAAAAUAUUUCGUGUGCCGUUUUAUGCGCACAAGCUCCUGGCAGUAUCUCUCUCUCGCUCUCUCUUGUGACAGGCUCCGAAACAAGGAGUCUUAAUGCGCAUGCCAGGCGCCAUUAGAGAACUUGGGGAACUGGUUGCUAAAAUUGGGGGGAAGCUCCCGGAAAAUCAUCCGGGAAAUCGGGAAAAGUGGGGAUUAAAUGUAAAAAACAUGUGAAAAGUGUUCUCUAAACUGCGAGCUUCAUUUUGAUGUAAUUUUCGUGGGUGCGCACCUGUUUCUUCUAUACAAAAACGGCCAGACCAACAGUGCUCCAGGAUGAAGCUGUUUUUCCAUCUCUCAAAUGGUGUCGAAGCUGCAGACUCUUUGUUUUGUUUCAAGAAGUCACCAGAGGCCACUUCUCGAUAGCAGAGACUGGACCAUAUACCUUUACCUUAUUAUAUAAUUUAAUUGUUUAUUUUGUAUUUAUUUAUAUAUAUGUAUAUAUUGUAUUAUUGACAAUAAAAACAUGUUUUAAAUUUGAAAAA